UACAGAGGUCUCAAGCGUUGUUCGGAUUCAUUGGGCGUAAAGGGUGCGUAGGCGGCGCGGUAAGUCGGGUGUGAAAUCUCGGAGCUUAACUCCGAAACUGCAUUCGAUACUGCCGUGCUUGAGGACUGGAGAGGAGACUGGAAUUUACGGUGUAGCGGUGAAAUGCGUAGAGAUCAUGAGGAAGACCAGUGGCGAAGGCGGGUCUCGUGGACAGUUCCUGACACUGAGACACGAAGGCCAGGGGAGCAAACGGG
rnacentral:rRNA from 1 species